UCUCUUCUUUUUUUUUCUUACUUGGACGCCGACGCCGCCUCCUGCCGCCACUCUUCCAGCGCCGCCGCUCCGGCGGAGCUCUCUCUCUCUUCUCUCCCUCUCUCCCUCUUCUCUCUCUUUCUCAACCUCACGCCGUCGCGCCGGCAUCCGUCUUUCUCCUGAUCCGCCGCCGCCGCCGUGCAUGCCCAGGCUGCGGCUUCGUCGCCCUCCUCCCGGAAGUCCGCCGUCUGCAUGCUCCGUCUCCCUCUUUCCCGAUCGGCCUCCCUCUCUCGGUCAGUCUCUCUCUCGCUUGGUUCACCGUACCGCUACCGCCGCUGCGGAUCCGCCGUCGUCGCGGGUCCGCCUCAGCCGACGUCGCCGAAGAUCUCCCCCAUCCGCCGACGCCGUUUCUCGACAGAUUUUCAAAGAUAUGGAAGCAGUGGCUUUCGGAGCAAAGGUAGUCGCUUGUUGGCGACGGAGUGUCGAGCUUACUGCCGGAAUCCGGCAAGUUCAUAAAGAUAAGUGUUUGUCCUUCUUUCUAGUUGUUAAGGCAGUAGGAUCCUACUUGGUUUCUAUCUACUGAUUUUGGUGAACUAAGAGUAUAUGUUUGCUAUGUGGAUGAAUAAGUAGUGAAGAUACAGUAUGAUUGUAAUUUUUUUGGGGAGGGGCAGAUUCUAAAAAUAUGUGUACACUUAUACGUAAAAGUAAAGGAAAAUGAUGGUUUGAGAUUCACCUCUUUUUUUUAUGUGGAAAGAUAUUGGAUUGUAGUGAAAAAGUUGUGCAAAUCUCCUUCGUACUUCUUUAUCUUUCAUGGGUUGUGUGUGCAGAGAAAUGGAUUGUAUGAUGGUGAUGUGGGGUGAAUGAAGAAUUUGGUUGUAUAUCUAAGUAUACAAAAGAUGGCAGCAAGUGACAAAAGAUAUCAUCUUAAUCUUUAUCUGACAGGAAGAAUGAUUGUCCUUUAGAAAAAAAUUUGGUUGCAGCUUUAAAUGAUGUGUGUGAAGGUAUAAUCGGCUCAAGUUCGUGGCCGACCCCGUUGAAGUACCCGAUUUUUCUUAAAACGUAGGAUGUAAUAGAUUUUAUUGGAUGUAUCGGACAUUAAAUUUUAAAUUUUUGUGAUCUUAUUUAUUUAUUUAUUUAAAUUUAUUAUA